UACGAACUGUGCAAACGUUAUUCGGAAUCACUGGGCUUAAAGGGUGCGUAGGCGGUCAUUUAGGUAGGGUGUGAAAGCCCCCGGCUCAACCGGGGAAUUGCGCCCUAAACCGGGUGACUAGAGUGAGAUAGGGGUGUGUGGAACUUCCGGUGGAGCGGUGAAAUGUGUUGAUAUCUAUCGGAACGCCGAAGGUGAAAACAGACAGCUGGGCUUGUUCUGACGCUGAGGUACGAAAGCGUGGGGAGCGAACGGG
rnacentral:rRNA from 1 species